UGCAUGGUUGUCGUCAGCUCGUGUCGUGAGAUGUUGGGUUAAGUCCCGCAACGAGCGCAACCCUUGUCUUUAGUUGCCAUCAUUAAGUUGGGCACUCUAGAGAGACUGCCAGGGAUAACCUGGAGGAAGGUGGGGAUGACGUCAAAUCAUCAUGCCCCUUAUGCUUAGGGCUACACACGUGCUACAAUGGGUAGUACAGAGGGUUGCCAAGCCGUAAGGUGGAGCUAAUCCCUUAAAGCUACUCUCAGUUCGGAUUGUAGGCUGAAACUCGCCUACAUGAAGCUGGAGUUACUAGUAAUCGCAGAUCAGAAUGCUGCGGUGAAUGCGUUCCCGGGUCUUGUACACACCGCCCGUCACACCACGGAAGUU
rnacentral:rRNA from 1 species